rnacentral:lncRNA from 12 species
AGAAAGUACUGGGGCUCCUAUUGGAUACCGGAACCAGCAACUCAUGAUCUCACAGAGGGUCCAUUGGUCCUUGAGGGAAAACUCUGAGAAGACUAAACACUGGCCAGGGUAGGGGUGGGGGCCCUCCAAGGGCUCUUGCACUGUGGUAGAGGUGGGGGCCCCUUCAACGGAUCUUGCACUGUGCAGCUUGACUAGCCCCCGGGCUGCCACAGUCGGUCAUGCAACUACUGCUUUAUCUCAAGGCCUAGGCUUUGGAGGGGAAG